GGUAGUGACAAGAAAUAACAAUACGGGGCUUAAAGUCUUGUAAUUGGAAUGAUGGGAAUUUAAACCUCUUCCAGAGUAUCAAUUGGAGGGCAAGUCUGGUGCCAGCAGCCGCGGUAAUUCCAGCUCCAAUAGCGUAUAUUAAAAUUGUUGCAGUUAAAAAGCUCGUAGUUGAAUUUCUGCUGCAUUGCUUGUGUCCCUCUGGGGUCUGUGCAUGUGGCUUUUUUCGGACGGAGUUUCUUUGUCUGAAUGUUUACUUUGAGAAAAUUAGAGUGCUCAAAGCAGGCUUUCGCCUUGAAUAGUUUAGCAUGGAAUAAUAAAGUAGGACUUUGGUUCUAUUUUGUUGGUUUUAGGUACCAAAGUAAUGGUUAAUAGGAACAGUUGGGGGCAUUCGUAUUUAACUGUCAGAGGUGAAAUUCUUAGAUUUGUUAAAGACGAACUACUGCGAAAGCAUUUGCCAAGGAUGUUUUCAUUAAUCAAGAACGAA
rnacentral:rRNA from 1 species